UGCAUAUAAUUGUUUUUACAUAACAGUUAAAGCCUAUUGUACAAAUAAUAUGUUAUACUUUACAGGUGACAGCGGUUACCCACUCAGGCGCUGGCUACUCACCCUAUUCUCAAACCCUCAGAGCGCAGAAGAAGUGCGCUUUAAUGAUACCCAUGCUCGUGCGCGCUCAGUAGUUGAGAGAGCCAUUGGCCUCCUCAAGUGUAGAUGGCGUUGCCUUGAUGCUUCGGGUGGUAGACUUUUAUAUCAACCAAAAAAAGUAUGCCAGAUCAUCAUGGUGUGCGCUAUUUUACACAACAUUGCACUGAUGAAUGGUAUCCCUGUUCCCCCCGACCUACCACAACACCAGCAUGAAGAGCCUGACCCACACCCCCCUCACCAACAAGAAGGACAUCAUCAGGGAGCAAGGCUCCGUCAGGAAGUAAUGCGCCAUUUGUGAAGAACAACAGUGCAAAGAACAGCCUCAGUCAGCACCCGGCCACUUCCAGCCGUAAGGUCGGGACGCACUUGUGCUGGGGACCUCGGGAAACUCCAUAGCCCCUGCAGACUCUGCGCUGGGAGUUGCGUCACACUGGUCUCCCGCAGACUCUGCAAGAAUAAGGACUAAACCAUUUGUAUAAUUUAUUUUGUUUAAUUGAGCACACAAGCAAUAAAGUUAUUUACCUGGUU